AUUGAACGCUGGCGGCAGGCCUAACACAUGCAAGUCGAGCGAGUGGCGGACGGGUGAGUAAUGUAUGGGGAUCUGCCUGAUAGAGGGGGAUAACUACUGGAAACGGUGGCUAAUACCGCAUACUAUCGGAUGUGCCCAGAUGGGAUUAGCUAGUUGGUGGGGUAAAGGCUCACCUAGGCGACGAUCCCUAGCUGGUCUGAGAGGAUGAUCAGCCACACUGGAACUGAGACACGGCCCAGACUCCUACGGUAGGCAGCAGUGGGGAAUAUUGCACAAUGGGCGCAAGCCUGAUGCAGCCAUGCCGCGUGUAUGAAGAAGGCCUUAGGGUUGUAAAGUACUUUCAGCGGGGAGGCGUUACCCGCAGAAGAAGCACCGGCUAACUCCGUGCCAGCCGCCGCGGUAAUUC
rnacentral:rRNA from 1 species